AAGUUUUCACACAGCUACUCAUACAAGGGUUUUCCUUAUUUUGAUUAUUUUCUACAUUGUAAAAUAAUAGGGAAGACAUCAAAACGAUGAAAUAACACAUAUGGAAUCAUGUAGUAACCAAAUAAGUGUUAAACAAAUCUAAAUGUAUUUUAUAUUUGAGAUUCUUCAAAGUAGCCAUCCAUUGCCUUGAUGACAUUUUUAAAAACAUCUUUAAAAAACUGAAACAGCAGUAGAGUAGUAGUUUAAAACAGUUGAAUUUCAGUCAGAAUCUGCCAAGCGCUCAAGACUGAAAUGUGUGACAAUUCCCGCACAAUUGAGCUCACACACACACACACACACACACAAACAGUACCGCUGCAGCUGUUAACACAUUAGCUUAUAUACACAAUAGUUGUGGAUGGUUACCUGUGAUUGACUAUAAUCCAUCAUCCACCUCAUAUCAGACGUGCAGACGUUGGGCAAACUGCUAGGGACAAGAGAGAGAAAGACCACCGUCGCAAUUGCUCCCCCCACUGCUUAACAAUGUUGUCCCUCCCACCCUCAUUAUAACAUCGCUAAUUUCCCGUUGAUGAUGCUAGAAUCUUUUCCAUUAUAAAUUAGAUUGGAAUUCCAUGCGUUGAUACAGCUCAAUUUGUCGUACUAACUUCAGACAUGACGCAAUUUGCACUAUACAUUUUCAAGAAGUUAAAAGGUGAUGACGAAGAUGAUCCAAAUUAAUCAGAGAACAAGAAGCUGAAAAUAAGUAAAUGAAUGGUAGUUGGAUUUGAUUUAUGUUUCUUUUUUACAUCAAUUCAUACUUUCACACACAUUUUAUUAUUAUGUUAUUACACUGAACAAAAAAUGUAAAAGCAACAUGCAACAAUUUCUAAGAUUUUUAUGAGUUACACUUCAUAUAAUGAAAUCAGUCAAUAUCACAUGACUUGGAAUACAUACAGUACUAGUCAAAGGUUUAGACACACCUACUCAUUCAAGGGUUUUUCUUUAUUUUUACUAUUUUCUACAUUGUAGAAUAAUAGUGAAGACAUCAAAACUAUGAAAUAACACAUAUGGAAUCAUGUAGUAACCAAAAAAGUGUUAAACAAAUCUAAAUGUAUUUUAUAUUUGAGAUUCUUCAAAGUAGCCACCCUUUGCCUUGAUGACAACUUUGCACACUCUUCGCAUUCUCUCAACCAGCUUUAUGAGGUUGUUAUCUGGAAUGCAUUUCAAUUAACAGGUGUGCCAUGUUAAAAGUUAAUUUGUGGAAUUUCUUUCCUUCUUAACCUCUUGGGGCUAGGUGGGACGCUAGCGUGCCACCCGUGGUGCACUCCAUCAACAGCAGGUGCAUUUCAAGAGCGG
rnacentral:lncRNA from 1 species